rnacentral:rRNA from 1 species
GACAAGGUUCCAGACCCUACGGGGUGCAGCAGGCGCGAAACCUCCGCAAUGUACGUAAGUGCGACGGGGGGAUCCCAAGUGUUAUGCUUAAUAGUAUAACUUUUCAUUAGUGUAAAAAGCUUUUAGAAUAAGAGCUGGGCAAGACCGGUGCCAGCCGCCGCGGUAAUACCGGCAGCUCGAGUGGUAGCUGUUUUUAUUGGGCCUAAAGCGUUCGUAGCCGGUUUGAUAAGUCUUUGGUGAAAGCUUGUAGCUUAACUAUAAGAAUUGCUGGAGAUACUAUCAGACUUGAAGUCGGGAGAGGUUAGAGGUACUACCGGGGUAGGGGUGAAAUCCUAUAAUCCUGGGAGGACCACCUGUGGCGAAGGCGUCUAACUAGAACGAUCUUGACGGUGAGUAACGAAAGCCAGGGGCGCGAACCGGAUUAGAUACCCGGGUAGUCCUAGCCGUAAACGAUGUGGACUUGGUGUUGGAAUGGCUUUGAGUUGUUCCAGUGCCGAAGGGAAGCUGUUAAGUCCACCGCCUGGGAAGUACGGUCGCAAGACUGAAACUUAA